UAAUACGGAGGGUGCGAGCGUUAAUCGGAAUUACUGGGCGUAAAGCGCACGCAGGCGGCUUGUUAAGCUAGAGGUGAAAGCCCCGCGCUCAACGUGGGAACUGCCUUUAGAACUGGCAGGCUAGAGUCUUGGAGAGGGGAGUGGAAUUCCAGGUGUAGCGGUGAAAUGCGUAGAUAUCUGGAGGAACAUCAGUGGCGAAGGCGGCUCCCUGGCCAAAGACUGACGCUCAUGUGCGAAAGUGUGGGUAGCGAACAGGAUUAGAUACCCUGGUAGUCCACACCGUAAACGCUGUCUACUAGCUGUUUGUGUAUUUAAUACGUGAGUAGCGAAGCUAACGCGCUAAGUAGACCGCCUGGGGAGUACGGCCGCAAGGUUAAAACUCAAAUGAAUUGACGGGGGCCCGCACAAGCGGUGGAGCAUGUGGUUUAAUUCGAUGCAACGCGAAGAACCUUACCUACUCUUGACAUCCAGGAAAUUUUUCAGAGAUGAAUUAGUGCCUUCGGGAAUCCUGAGACAGGUGCUGCAUGGCUGUCGUCAGCUCGUGUCGUGAGAUGUUGGGUUAAGUCCCGCAACGAGCGCAACCCUUGUCCUUAGUUGCCAGCAUUAAGUUGGGCACUCUAAGGAGACUGCCGGUGACAAACCGGAGGAAGGUGGGGACGACGUCAAGUCAUCAUGGCCCUUACGAGUAGGGCUACACACGUGCUACAAUGGCAAGUACAGAGGGAAGCGAGACGGUGACGUGGAGCGGACCCCUUAAAGCUUGUCGUAGUCCGGAUUGAAGUCUGCAACUCGACUUCAUGAAGUCGGAAUCGCUAGUAAUCGCAGGUCAGCAUACUGCGGUGAAUACGUUCCCGGGCCUUGUACACACCGCCCGUCACACCAUGGGAGUGGGAUGCAAAAGAAGUAGUUAGUCUAACCUUCGGGAGGACGAUUACCACUUUGUGUUUCAUGACUGGGGUGAAGUCGUAACAAGGUAGCCG
rnacentral:rRNA from 1 species